GAUGAACGCUAGCGGCAGGCCUAACACAUGCAAGUCGAGGGGCAGCACAGGUAGCAAUACUGGGUGGCGACCGGCGGAUGGGUGCGUAACGCGUAUGCAACCUACCAUUGAUUGGGGCAUAGCCCGAAGAAAUUCGGAUUAAUACUCCAUAAUAUUCAUCAAAGGCAUCUUUUAUGAAUUAAAGCUUUUGCGAUCAAUGAUGGGCAUGCGUGACAUUAGUUAGUUGGUGAGGUAACGGCUCACCAAAACGAUGAUGUCUAGGGGUUCUGAGAGGAUUAUCCCCCACACUGGUACUGAGACACGGACCAGACUCCUACGGGAGGCAGCAGUGAGGAAUAUUGGUCAAUGGGCGGAAGCCUGAACCAGCCAUGCCGCGUGCAGGAAGGAGGCCCUACGGGUUGUAAACUGUCUUUACCCGGGAAGAAACCGCCCCUGUGGGGGGCGUUGCCGGUACCGGGGGAAAAAGGAUCGGCUAACUCCGUG
rnacentral:rRNA from 1 species